rnacentral:rRNA from 1 species
UACGUAGGGUGCGAGCGUUAAUCGGAAUUACUGGGCGUAAAGCGUGCGCAGGCGGUUUGUCGUGUCCGAUGUGAAAGCCCCGGGCUCAACCUGGGAAUGGCAUUGGAAACUGGCGGGCUUGAGUGUGGCAGAGGGGGGUGGAAUUCCGAGUGUAGAGGUGAAAUUCGUAGAUAUUCGGAAGAACACCAGUGGCGAAGGCGACUCGCUGGACAGACAUUGACGCUGAGGUGCGAAAGCGUGGGGAGCAAACAGG